ACUAGAAUACCGACAAACUGACAGCUAAUAGCAAACAAGCAGAAGACAAGCAGGCAGGCAGGCAGGUUAUUUUAUUAGAAUACAGCAUUUCUACACACUAGAAUACAUGAUUUUUCAAUAAUUAAAAGAAAGUGCAGGUAGGCAGGCAGGCAGGCAGGCAGGCAGGUAGGUUAAUUUAUUAGGAUACAGCAUCCCUACACACUAGAAUACAUGAUUUUUUUUAAUAAUCUAAAGAAAGUGCUUCAUAAACAAGCUCAACAAUUUCAAUGUAUGAAGCACUGAAUGUAUCUAUCUCUGCUAACUGCAUUAUCCUCCAUUAGUCUGUUUGUUGACAACUUAAACACUUUUCUCAAACAACUUUACUAUUCCAUUUUUUGGAGAGUCACAGAAAAACGUCGUCGCCAAUGUGACAUAAAGUCUGCAUCUACUUGUCUUCCUUUAAUGAGCCCUGCCUUUCUUCCCAGUUCAUGCAGUAAGUUUUCCGCUUGUGAUCCCCAUGUGCCGAAAUGCUAAAAAACUAGCGGAACAAUUUCAAGGCUACAUCCAUCUGGCAAGAUCUCUUUUGAAUAUUUGUAACAUUUUUCUGAUUCUUGUUUUGUCGCUGCAUGUCUGCGUGCCUUUGCAGCUCCAUUCACUAUGUCUUUCUUUCAAGGGUGAGCCAAAGAAACAUCACAUUCAUAGGUGACACCAGAAUCAAUGUCGUAGAAUGUGAUGUCUGGUCUUCCAUCAGUUUGUAUGUAUCUGUUUUUUGGUCUGUUUGAUAAGGAAUACCCAGCUCUUUUAGGCAAGCAGACCACUCAGCAACAAUAAUAUUGUGAGACCCGACAGGACCGCCUCCAUAUUUGGAGGUAAUCAAAUGAAAGCCUUCUUGAUCUAACCCUUGUCUACAGUCACAAGGCAGGCAGGCAGGCAGACUGGCAGGCAGGCAGGCAGGCAGACAGGCAGGUAGGUUAUUUUAUUAGGAUACAGCAUCUCUACACACUAGAAUACAUGAUUUUUCAAUAAUUAAAGGAAAGUGCUUUAUAAACAAGUUCAACUAUUUCGAUGUGUGAAGCACUGAGUGUAUCUACAGCUCUACUAACUACAUUAUCCUCCAUUAGUCUGUUUGUUGACAACUUAGACACUUUUCUCAAGACAACUUUACUAUUGCAUUUUGGAGAGGCAGGCAGGCGGGCGGGCAGGUGGGCAGGCUGGCAUGCAGAAAGGCAGCUAAACAGGCGAUCAAACAGGCAGACACAGACAAUUGAUGGAUAGAUGGACAGAUAGACAAACAUAAUUGUAAGAACAAUCAGGAAUUGAGAAACUGGCUUUGGUGCCUUUUUGUGGCUGUAUACAGAGAUGCAAUGGCAGCCUGACCAGAAUAAAACUAACAAAACUUACCCAGACUAUUAUGUUAAUUAAAUUGUUACAGUUGCUUGUGCAGAAGGUAAACAUACAUUUAUCAGCAUCUGGCCCUGCAGAGUCAACGAACAAGUAGUAGGUUUAGUAGUAUUUGUUCAGUUUGCAAUAGUUCUGAUAUAUGAGAGUAUGUGUUGACAGACAGACAGACAAACAGACAGACAGACAGACAGACGGACAGACAGACAGACAGACAGGCAGACAGACAGGCAGACAGACAGGCAGACAGACUGGUGGCGGGCCGGUAUGGUCUCACGAAUUGAUUUUGUCCGUCUGGUCUGAUUGUUUCCGUGGGUUGCAUAUCCACCAUCGCAGGGAGCCGAGGAGUCGUUAUACAACCACAGACAACAGACCAGACAUCGUAUUAUUUUACUUGUACAUUGGAAACAACGUUGGCCUAGAUAUCUCCCUCGCCUACCCAUGGAGUAGUGACAUCUUUCCAUCAUCUGCUGGUGUUAGUGGUGCCGCUGCAGAGAGGAGAGCAGACAGAAAGAAAGAGAAAUACAGCAAACAGCAAUUACCAGGAGGCAUAAUUGCCACUGUAACCCCACUGGUAAUGGAGCAUUUUGGAGCUUGGGGGAUCGAUGGGUGGAAACUCCUGUACAAAUUAUCAAAGAAGCCAUCGGGCAAAGUGGGACGACCGAACACUGCAGAGUUUAUCGACUUCUGGUCCAAACGCUUUUCAAUCCAGCUCUAGAAGUGUAAUGCUAGAGUCAUCUCUAAAAAGCUAUCUUUGCUGUCUGAAGACAACAGAUGUGACCUCUUUGCCACCCAGUACUUUAGCCACUAGCUGGUACUUGAGGCUUUGCUUGUCCACUGUAGCUUUUAAAUGUAGUCCUCAUUUUGGUUUACAUGAGCCUUUCAAUUUUAGCUUAGUUUAGUUGAUGAACACUACUAGUAGUUGGACAGUACAUAGUACCCUGCAUUGCAAAAUGUAUCAUAGAUAAAAGUUCAAAUAUAUGUGAUUGACGGGCAGACAGACAGACAGACAGACAGACAGACAGACUUCUGGUCAGUGUGACUGUGGGAAAGAAUUAGACUCAGAUGGAUACCACCUAAGAACAUGUAAGACUGGGGGCGGCCUGGCAAUCAGCCAUAACAACAUGGUUUCAGCAUGGUCAGACUGUUUGAGUCAACUGCAAUUACAUCACGUAAAAGAACCCAGAGGAAGGUAUGUCAAUUCUGAAGACAGAUCAGACAUAGUCGUAUUCGAUUCGGCAUCGGGGAUGGAGCUUGAAUUGGAUAUUGCUCUAGCGCAUCCCUGGAGCAAUGAAAUAGGAGGUUUAUCAGCUACAACUCAGAGAGCAGCGGCAACCAGAAGAGAAAAUCUGAAGAUCAAAAAUCUUCGAACAUUUUGGCUGUUGGGGAGAGAAAGCUGAAGACUAUUUGAAGAAACUGUCACAGCUAUCCAGAGACGAAGACGGAAAGCCAAAUGCAUCAACCUUCAAGACAUACUGGAGAUAUGUGUUUUCUGUGUGUCUACAACGAUCAAAUGCUAGAGUGAUUGACAGAAAAAUAAAGAAGAUUGUUCAAGAGACAGCAACAUAAACAUAAAUAUUUGUAUGUAGAACCAAGCCCUAUUGGCUUGGGUAGUAUUUAGUUGCUUUGCUUAGAUGGUGUAUAAUAGUUCAAUGUUUGAAAAUAUAUGUAAUGACAGACAGA